GACAAAGUUGCUUGAAGCAUUUCUGGCUCACGUCACCUUCAUGAUAGGACCAUAUUAUCAGGUUGAAAUAUCUGGUAGACUAUCAGGGUUAAAAUGCCAAUGAGGCUGAUGCUAUCGUUUCCUAAAAUGGCACCAUUGGAAUGGAUCAGCUGCAUUGCAAUUAGCUACCGUGAACACGGCAUAUUGAUUACGAGGAGUUGGUGCGCCUUCGUCUCUUCUCCCCUCAACCAGGAGAUGUCAGCGAGAUAUCUUGCAUCAAUGAUGCACAAUCAAGAGAUGAUGGGGCCUUGUGACGUGUUUUCAGUGGUGGCUCCCUUGGCUGUGCGGUGUCCUCGGCCAGAGCAGGGGCCUGCCAGCAACCUCACAAUCUCUGGCUUGUUCAUAGGAGCGGCAUAAUGCUUUUUUACGUCUAUAAACAUAAAUACUACCAGGCCCCUUGUAAUUACCGUCAAGAAUGCUGCCAAUUCGCCUACUGCAACUAAAGGUCGAGUACAAGGAAAUACCAAAUUGAGUGUUUUCUCCUCACUAGGUUGAGUACAGGGAGAGAUGUCGGAGGGCAGCAUCUGGAGCGUCACUUGAUAGUCAUCUUUCCAAAAAAGGUCCCUAUCAAAGUUCCUUAUUGGUUCUUGCCAUUGAUCUAUACUCAAACCUCUCCACUGAAGAAAUACAAGUGCUCUAUAAUGUGAUUUAUCCUUUCUGUACUUACGAUCUAACAAUGAUUUAUGUGAGGUGCCAUUGAUGUUCAUUGUUUGUUUGGCAGAGGUUUAGUACCAAGGGAAAUAAUCAUGCCAAGACAAAUCAAACGAAUUUAUUUUGUUCAGAAAAUCUAUUUUUUUUAAUAUUUUAGCAAGUCUCGUGGCUGGCGGCUGGUUGCCUGUCUAUGGAAAAUAUUGGUUAUUCAUUGCUUGCUACGAGUUCAUUGCCGGCGACAGUUUGCCUGCCUAUGGAAAAUAUCGAUUAGUUCUUCAUUGCCUGCUAUGAGUUCAAAACGGAAAAUCAGUAAUACACUAUAGGAAGCUGUUCUGAAUGGAAGGCGUCUUUGCUAAAUUGAGUACAACGUAAAUACUUUAUUUUAGAAAUUGCAGAAAGGCUGCCCAACUUGAAAAAGAUAUAUGGUAUGGAAGCCAAAGCGUAUAUUCACCGAAUGCUUCUGGGAUAGAAGUGCUUGCAUUGGUAUGUUACCGUUUGCUCUCUAAUGUUAGCUUGCACGAUGAGAGAGGGAAGUGGUAGUUUUUUCCCUGUUGGAUAUAUAUUUGUUGAAUUACUUGGUUCUUUCUUCCACUAUCGAUCUUAUCUUUCCAGUCUACUGUUGUCUUACUUUUCAGUAGGUUCUCUUGUCUGAUUUGGAAAAGAGCUGCUGAUGUUUGCACUCGAAUUCAAUGAUGGUUGCCCAGUUUAUGUUAGAGUGUAUUAUACUGCUAUAAAAAGUUGUACCAAUUUAUUGUAUACGUAAAUUAUUAUGUAAACAUCAGAGGUUAAGAUUAGUUAUCUUACAACUUUAUAGCGAAAAAUACUCAAAUUUAUAACUGUUCGAGAGUUAUAAAUGUGUAUUUUUCUAGGUUGUCUAAAUCAAGAGCUUUUAUUGCCUCUUUAGCAAUCUACUAGGAUCAUUGGUAUUGUCCAAUAUGUAUUGCAAUUGGUAUAUAUGUACUCGGAUCUGGCCGGCAUAUUGCAUUGUUCAUUCCAUCGGUUAUACCUCCCUUGCUCGGCGCGGCCGGAGACGUGGUGGCGACGGCCGAAGGAGAGUGGCGCGGCCGGAGACGGGCCAGCGCGGGGCGGAUCCGCGGCGGCGACGACCGGAGGCGACGGGUGCGGCCGGAGACGGGCUGGCGCGGGGCGGAUCCGUGGCAGCGCCGACCGGAGGCGAGGCCAUCUCUCCUCCCUGCUCUCGUCAUCUUCAGUGGAUGAACACUGGGCAGGCGGCAAGGGAUGGUCUUGGCACAACCUGAUUCAACUCCAGAUUAUUCUAACACCGAGGGAUGGACGGAUGGUCAUGGCCCAGCAACUGCACCUGCAUCUACUUCCGCAACCUCUCCAAAGAGCCACGUUGAGGAUCUCUUUUUCCCCAAUGACCUUACACGUUUGUAUGAUUCAGUUGUCACCUUUUCCAGAUGAAUCAAGUCUCAAUGAAUGAGGUCGAGACGAUGCUUGAGCUCUACAAAAUCAUAAAAGCUGAAAAAAUAGUGUGAAAUCAUACUUAAUUAUUAUAUAUUACUGCAACACCUCGGUGGAAUGGAGUGUCUGCAAGAUACUAAAGCGGUUAAAUUCUGGCUAAUUCUUAAUACUAAAAUAAGCUAAAACUUAUGGUUUAAAUUCUGACUUGAUUUUGCUAUUUGACAUGUUUGAGAGUAGGCUUUGCCAUGUAUCCUUACCAUGUUAAUUCAGGUUCUAAUAAAAACAUAUGAUAUCUCUAUUUUUUUCUUCACUCUAUUUCAUGUUGGUUAUCAUCGACACUAAUAUUUUUCUUUUCCUAUCUGUUAACAGAAAUUCUACCCGAAUUUUUAUUUCUUUCUUCAUAUGAGAUCCUUUAGUUCGUAUUGUUGAAUGUUACAUAUCUCUAAAUAUCACUAUAUUCAUAUUUCUCAUAUCUGAUGGACCAUGAGCUGUGUAUAUGUGCCUAAUCACUUUACCCAUCAGCUCUUACCUGGCAUAGUUUUCAGCUGUUCACUGACUUCCACGUUGUAUUUUGGAACCUUCCAUGGGGAUUGAUCUCAUGUGUUUCAAUCUUCUGAAGGUUCUUUUGUCAAUACUUGCUUUUUUGUGAUGCUGCACUUUACACCCGAUGGUGUUAUUGGAACCGAAUACGGUAGUUCUUGUUUAAUUCAAGCCCGGAUAUGGUUAGGAAUGUGCUAGCGUACUUUCCUUAUGGUUGCUCACUGGACAAAGCACUAAAUAUGGAAAAUAUGAAAACUUCAUUAGUAUCUGUAGGUAGAAAAGGAGGUUCUGUUUGGUAUAAGAUAAUAUGGGGCUGGUCACAAGAAAAGAAGAGGAAAGAUCACAAAUUAUUGUGAAUAUAGUUGACAAUUUUGUAUACAUAGGAAAGUUUGCAUUGUGACUUGUGAAUAUUUUUUCCCUCCUUCCCGCGCUUCUGUAGACAGCUUAGGAAUUCUGUGGUGUACGAAUAGUACCCUAAAAUUCAAAGCGUAGAUUUGUGGGGCACAUCAAAGAGCGACCUUAAUUUCAGUCCAGGCCUGAGUGGCCACUAUCUCGGUCUUAUCUUCUGGUUGCAUAUUGCUCUCUACAUCCCUCUUUCCUCUCUAUAUCUUGUAUGCCUUUCAUCAGGGUGCAGCUGCCUCUUUUGAAGAAAUUAAGAGGAGUUGCUGAUGAGCUUCAGGGUAUCCUAAAGAGGCAAUGCUUUGGAGUAAUCUGUUUGAGCUGGCCCUCUCAUAUUUUUGUCACGGU